rnacentral:rRNA from 1 species
GUGCGUAACGCGUAUCGAACCUGCCGCAUACCCGGGGAUAGCCUUGCGAAAGCAAGAUUAAUACCCGAUGUUCUCACUGUUCCGCAUGUUACGGUGAGCAAAGAAUUUCGGUAUGCGAUGGCGAUGCGUCCCAUUAGCUAGUUGGCGGGGUAACGGCCCACCAAGGCUCCGAUGGGUAGGGGUUCUGAGAGGAAGGUCCCCCACACUGGAACUGAGACACGGUCCAGACUCCUACGGGAGGCAGCAGUGAGGAAUAUUGGUCAAUGGACGCAAGUCUGAACCAGCCAAGUAGCGUGCAGGAUGACGGCCCUCCGGGUUGUAAACUGCUUUUAGUUGGGAAUAAAAGGGGGCUCGUGAGCCCCGUAUUGUAUGUACCAUCAGAAAAAGGACCGGCUAAUUCCGUGCCAGCAGCCGCGGUAAUACGGAAGGUCCGGGCGUUAUCCGGAUUUAUUGGGUUUAAAGGGAGCGUAGGCCGGCUUUUAAGUCAGCUGUGAAAGUCCGCGGCUCAACCGUGGAAUUGCAGUUGAAACUGGAGGCCUUGAGUGCACACAGGGAUGCCGGAAUUCAUGGUGUAGCGGUGAAAUGCUUAGAUAUCAUGAAGAACUCCGAUCGCGAAGGCAAGUGUCCGGGGUGCAACUGACGCUGAGGCUCGAAAGUGCGGGUAUCAAACAGGAUUAGAUACCCUGGUAGU